rnacentral:rRNA from 1 species
UACAGGGGGGGCAAGCGUUGUUCGGAAUUACUGGGCGUAAAGGGCCAGUAGGCGGCCAACUAAGUCCGACGUGAAAUCCCCAGGCUUAACCUGGGAACUGCGUCGGAUACUGGAUGGCUUGAAUUCGGGAGAGGGAUGCAGAAUUCCAGGUGUAGCGGUGAAAUGCGUAGAUAUCUGGAGGAAUACCGGUGGCGAAGGCGGCAUCCUGGACCGAGAUUGACGCUGAACGGCGAAAGCUAGGGGAGCGAAACAGGGAGUUAGAA